GGCUGCGUUACCACCGACCAGUCCUCAGCCGGCAACAUGAAGCUGGGUGGCCUCUGCCUCCUGCUCCUCCUCGCCGUCCUUCUCACCCUCAAUGCAGAGUUCCAAGCAGUUGAUGUAGGUAUCUGUGUGACGGAGUGCAAGGUAGACCAGGACUGUGGGGCAGGAAGACGAUGCACCAGCAAUGGAUGUGGCCGGGUCUGCUCCCCAGUCCGGCGAAGAGAGGCCUGCGAGCACCAGUGCAGAGAAGACAGGGACUGUGGGAGUGGACAUCAGUGCGUGAGGAAGGGCUGUGGGCACGUCUGCGCCCCCGUCCAUCAAGUCGGUAUCUGUGUGACGGAGUGCAACGUAGACCAGGACUGUGGGGAAGGAAGACAAUGCACCAGCAAUGGGUGUGGCCGUGUCUGCUCCCCAGUCCAGCAAGAAGAUGUAGGUAUCUGUGUGACGGAGUGCAAGGUAGACCAGGACUGUGGGGAAGGAAGACGAUGCACCAGCAAUGGGUGUGGCCGUGUCUGCUCCCCAGUCCAGCAAAAAGAGGCCUGCGAGCACCAGUGCAGAGAAGACAGGGACUGUGGGAGUGGACAUCAGUGCGUGAGGAAGGGCUGUGGGCACGUCUGCGCCCCCGUCCAUCAAGUCGAUGUAGGUAUCUGUGUGACGGAGUGCCGUGUAGACCAGGACUGUGGGGAAGGAAGACAAUGCACCAGCAAUGGAUGUGGCCGUGUCUGCUCCCCAGCCCAGCAAAGAGAGGCCUGCGAGCACCAAUGCAGAGAAGACAAGGACUGUGGGAGUGGACAUCAGUGCGUGAGGAAGGGCUGUGGGCACGUCUGCUCCCCCAUCCCUCAAGUAGGUAUCUGUGUGACGGAGUGCAAUGUAGACCAGGACUGUGGGGCAGGAAGACGAUGCACCAGCAAUGGAUGUGGCCGUGUCUGCUCCCCACCCCAGGGAGGAGGACUCUGUGUGGACCGCUGCCGAGGAAACUGGGACUGUGGGGCCGGAGAAGAAUGUAUCAGGAAGGGAUGUGGACGGGUCUGCUCUCCAGCCCAGGAGCCAGUGGUAGGUAUCUGUGUGGAUCAGUGCCAAAGACACUGGGAAUGUGGUCCACGGAUGCGGUGUGUCUCCACUGGAUGUGGCCACAUCUGCUCACCAGCCCAAGACCAAGGUAAGAGGUGCAAGCCUUGCCUUCCAAGCCCCUGACUGACUGAAUGCUUGGCUCUG
rnacentral:lncRNA from 1 species